CAGAGUCACAGGAGUGGCUGGAGGAGUCGGACUCGGAAGAGGACAGCAGCUCCGAUGAAGAGGGUGCAGAGGGGGGAGAUGAAGACCAGGAGGAGGACAGUUCGGAGGACAGUGCGGAGGAGGGAGCAGCACCCAGAGGUGGCACAUGGGGAGCAAUACGAAGAGUACUUGUCCCGGACUGAACAGCACUGGCUGAAGCUCGCCCGGAACCAUGUGGGGCCCGAUGCAAAGGAGAAGAAAGUGUUGAGAGUAGCCCAGGCCAUGGCAAAAGCAUGCUUCGACGAUGCAGUUCCAGACAUUGCACAGGCCAAACAUUAGACGGAGCGGAGCGGUGGACUCAACACUGGCAUCGAGCCAGGUGUGAGGAGGCCCCUGCAGAGACGGUCCUCUGUGGAGCCUUGGUUGUCCACAGUCUGAUGGGGGCUACCCUGCCUUCACAGUGGCCUCUGCCCACGCUGAGGGAAGGUGAAUGGGAUGUGAAUUUGAGGGGCCCACAGGCUGUGUGCUUCUGUCCUAAUAAAACUGGGCUAGCUGUG
rnacentral:lncRNA from 1 species